rnacentral:lncRNA from 1 species
CAAGAAGGCCCAAGAACAAACAGCUGUUUAUCUCCUGGAGCUGGUUAAAAAUCCCAACACUCAGUCUCAUCCUAUGUCCUAAAUUGUAAUAUCUAGGGAGAGAAAAGGAAGGGAGAGAGGAACUUAUAUUUUAAUAAGCUUUUCAGAUAGCUAUGCUGCACACCAAAGCUAUAGCCUUUAGUGGAUGAUACAGAUGACUACAAGAAAUGAGAAUAGAAAAGUUAAUUAUACUUUGCAGAGACACAAUUGCAUUUGAGGUAGAACUUCAGUUAAUGAGAACCAACUCAGUGGAUUCUUGAAGACAAUCUGCGUUCUUGCUCUACUGUGUAUUAUCUUGGACAUUCAGCAAGCCACUUAAUGUACCAAGAUUCAGCCUCUGCCUCACUGAUAAAGUGAGAAAGAUAAUGGUAUCUGCUUCGUGGAAUUUAUGAGACUCAGAUGCAAAAACUGAGCUGUAGAGAGGAUAUGUUGCUUGCCUACAGCCACAAGACUUUCUUACAAGCAGCAGACCUGUCUCCUGCGUACUUGUUUAUUGGUUCCUUUACAUACUCUGCAUACUGUUGUUUGCACCAUUCCUCCCAAUAUUUCCAAUACAAGU